GGUCCCGAGGGGGAAGCCGCGGUGUGACCCGGGCCACCAGGCCGUGGGCGCAGGGCUCCCUUCGGGCAGGGCAGACGCCGGGUCCGCGAGGAAGGCUCCAUGCACAUCACCUGAGAAACGCCAGCCCUGUCCGGGGAAGGGAAGCAGCUCUCCGAGAGAGGAGGCUGCGGGUGGUCUCAGACCUCGGGGGCUUCUGCCUCCUUCGGAGAACCAUGUGACCAGUAGAAGAUACUCUCAUCCACACCCAAGACCCGGGAGGGACGUGCAAAAUCAACAAAGAGGGCCACUAGGAGACGCUCGCUGUGCUGCAGACUCUGUGACCACCGGCAGGAUCAAAGGAAAGUGUUAGCACCUCUGCGGUCUGGUUCCUGUG